UGACCCACAAGGCUCCUGCCCCCAAAGUCCUUCCACAUCCGGGGUGCACCAUGUCCCCUCCUGCCCACUGAGGAGGGGGAUGUGUCGUGUCUAGGAAGAGCCAGCCCGCAGCCCCGCUCGGGGUACUGGGAGAAGCCGCCGGAGGGGCACGUGCCUGCCAAGAGCUGGCUGCACCGCAGUCAAAUAAAUAAAAC